rnacentral:rRNA from 1 species
GUUUAUUUCCUCAAGAGAAAACUUACCUUUAAUCAAAUGAUUAAAAAGUAGCCUGAAUAUAAUACAAGAUUUAGGUUUAAAACCGUGGCAAAUUGAAACAUCUUACUAGCUCGGUAAAAAAAUCAAAAGAGAAAUCGAAAGUAAUGGAGAAUGAAAUCGAUUCAGUUUUAGAUACUGAGCUUUAAUACAUGAAAUUAUACUUUUAAAAUAGAGUUAGUUUAAAACUCGUAAUUAUAAAGUCAGUAUCAAAUUUGUUAAAUUUGCAAUUAAAAUGUAAAAAAUUAUGUUUUUGGGUAGAAUUAACUGCUUAACUAAUAACUCUAAAUAAUUAAUAGCGUAAAGUACCGUGAGGGACCGUUAAUGAUCUUGGAUACACUCUAAUUUAAUAGCUUAUAAGCAACUUUUUAUAAAAAGGUUUACCUUUUGCAUUAUGGUUCGGUUAGUUAAAUUUUAUGGCAAGCUUAUAAUUAAAAUAGUUAAAAGCAUCAUUAAAUAAAAUUUGUAGUCAUAAAAUUUAAACACGAAACCAACGUGAUCUAUUCAAAUUCAGAUUGAAUAUUUAGUAAUAAUAAAUUAGAAGAUCUAACCGAUGUUUGUUGCAAAAAACUCGGGUGAAAUUUGAAUUGGAGUGAAAGGCUAAUCAAACUUGGCGAUAGCUUGUUUUCUGCGAAAUUCUUUUUAGAGAAGCGCCCAAAGUCAAUACUUUAGGGUAAAGCACUGGUUGAAUUGAGGUUGUUUAUAUGGCAUUACGAAAUUCAUCUAAACUCUGAAUAUAGGGCUAUGCUUUGGGUAGUUAGAUUGUAGGCGAGAAAGUUUAUAAUCAAAAGAGAAACAACUCCAAAUGAUUUUUAAGGUUUUCAAAUAAACUUUUAAUCUAAGAAAAUUUUUUAUAUAAACAUUAUUGUUGUAGGCUUAGAAACAGCCACCAUUUUUUGAGGACGUAACAGUCCCUGUGCAAAAAUAAAAAAUUAUCUAAAAUAAAAUGAAAUUAAGGUUUUACCGAAAAAUCAUGAUAAAUUAUUAAAUUUAUUGGUAGCAGAACAUUUUGUAUUUUUUUUUUUUGUGAAAAAAUUAAGAAUAAUCAAGAUUGAUAAUGCCGAAAUGAGUAACAAAAAAGGUUAUAAAACCUUUCACCUUUUAUUUUAGGUUUUCUUCGUUAUAUUAUAUUUCGUGGAGUUAAUCGAGCUCUUAUUUUUAGGUGACAACUUUAAGAAAAUGAGCGAUUAUAAUUUGUUUAAUUUUAUUUUAAACAAUUUUUUUAGAGACAAGAAUUAUAAGCUAUUUUUUAUAUUUCGGAUUGUUUAAAACUUGCGAAUAGUUCUUCUGGAAAAUCUUUAUUAAUUAACAUUUUAUAAAAAAUCGUACUUAAACCAAACAAGGUAAAUUUGUUUAUCAAAAUAAUGGUGAAAAAAUUAAAAAAAAAUAUGGAACUCGGCAAAUUUACCCCGUACCUUAGGAAUAAGGGGGAGCAAUUUCUAUUAGUUUAUUGCUAUAAAUAGAUUAAACCUGUGACUGUUUACUAAAAACACACGACUAUGCUAAUUUAAAUAAAUAUAUGGUCGGACUGGUGCUAAAUGCCUGUACAUUGAAACCAAAAUAGCGUUUGCUUUUUGAUAAUACCAGGUUAAUAGCGGUCUUACUCUGAGGAUCGUAAUGUAGCGAAAUUCCUUGUCUAAUAAAUAUAGUCCUGCACGAAUCCAGCAACAACAGGUUUACUGUCAUAUUUUUUUGUUUUGUGAAAUUGAAAUAGAAGUGCAGAUUCUUCUUUGCAACACCAAGACGAAAAGACCCUUUUAACCUUUACUAUAAGCAAUUAUUGCUAAAACCUUGACGUAUUGUUCAGCAUAAACAACAGCUUAUGACAUUUUUGUUUUAAAAAAUAGAAGCAAGCUUGAGAUAUUGUUCUUUACUGGGUUGCCGCUGAUUUAUCUAAAGACAGUAAUUGCUCGUUAGUUUCUUUGGGGCGAAGUUCUUUUAAAAAGUAACAAAGAAGCGCAAAAGGUAAAUUCAAAUGAAAAAUUUCAUUUAAGAGUGUAAAAGCAAAUAUUUACUUAACUGUGAGACUGAUAAGUCAAGCAGAAACGCAAGUUGGUUUUAAUGAACCAACUUUUCUGGUUGAAAAGGAAAUUGUUCAUCAGAUAAAAGGUACUAUAGGGAUAACAGAAUAAUAAAAACCAAGCGAUCAAAGCGACGUUUUUGUUUGUGACCUCGAUGUCGACUUAUGGGAUCCUCAGUGUGAAGAAGCUCUGAAGGGUUUGACUGUUCGUCAAUAAAAGCCGUACAUGAGUUGGGUUUAAAACGAUGUGAAUCAGUUUUGUUUCUAUCUGGUGUUGCUUGAUAAAACAAAGAGUUUUCUUAUUUAGUAUGAGAAGAAUAAUAAGAGUAAGCCAAUUGUUACUGGCCAUUUUCUAACAAUGUUCAGAUAGCGACGCUUUAAAAAAUAAAAAAUGAAAGCAUCUAUUUAAGUUUCAAGUUUUACUCAAAACAAGUUUUAUUACGUAUUAAAACGGACUUUAACAAAGUGGUUUAAUAUUAAAACCUUUAUCGGCAGCAAGUGUAUUAUUGUAAAUUUCUUUGCUUAGUUGUACGAAA